GACGAACGCUGGCGGCGUGCCUAAUACAUGCAAGUAGAACGCUGAAGAGAGGAGCUUGCUCUUCUUGGAUGAGUUGCGAACGGGUGAGUAACGCGUAGGUAACCUGCCUGGUAGCGGGGGAUAACUAUUGGAAACGAUAGCUAAUACCGCAUAAAAUGGAUUAUCGCAUGAUAAUCCAUUGAAAGGUGCAAAUGCAUCACUACCAGAUGGACCUGCGUUGUAUUAGCUAGUUGGUGGGGUAACGGCUCACCAAGGCGACGAUACAUAGCCGACCUGAGAGGGUGAUCGGCCACACUGGGACUGAGACACGGCCCAGACUCCUACGGGAGGCAGCAGUAGGGAAUCUUCGGCAAUGGACGGAAGUCUGACCGAGCAACGCCGCGUGAGUGAAGAAGGGUUUCGGAUCGUAAAGCUCUGUUGUAAGAGAAGAACGAGUGUGAGAGUGGAAAGUUCACACUGUGACGGUAUCUUACCAGAAAGAGACGGCUAACUACGUG
rnacentral:rRNA from 1 species